ACGACAUGAAUGCAACAAACCACUAAGUUGAAUUGCAAAAAAAAAUUUAGAAACCCAUAUUUUUCACUAUCUAAAAUAUCGACAACAUAAUUAAAGUUGGAACAUUUUAUAAAAUAAUAAAAUCUUUGGUUUUGUUUUUAGUGUUUUCUAAGUCACAUUCCAAAGUAGGAAUUUUGGAGUGUCACAGAUUUUCAGAUGAAAUGUUUAAAAUGAUGUUACCUUCGUACUCCAUCGAACAUGUCUCCUAUGUUCAAAUAUGUUUUUGCAUACUUUUUAUUCUUAGCUAAUAUCCCUAGAGAUUUAUGAACACUUGUUAUAGGGACCCCAUUUUAUCUAAGUAAUUGACGUAUGUGAUAUAGUAGGAUGACAUGAUGCUUGCUGGUUCUUGCAAAGUACUUGGGUUUUCUUUUAUAAAAAGCAAAAUUCAAUAGCAAGUUUCUUGAAAGAUCAAGCUUUAUUCAUACCAUGGCCAAAUAUUUUUUCAUGAUUAAACUUUCUACAUAUGCUGCUUGCUCUGUGUUGAGUUUGGUCAAAUUUUUGCACCGCUGUCGAGAGAUGUUUCAUGCCUCUAAGAUCAUAAUUCACUUCACCCACCAUAUAAAAGCCGACUCUCACACUGAGAAGUCGCGCACAACAUGCUUUCUCCAUCCAUCCAAAAUUUCACCAACUCUUACACUGAGGGUUGCGCACAUAUAUCCACCAAAUAAAAAUGCCAAUAUCUCAUCCUGAGAAUUGUGCAUUCAUAUACAUUCCUUGCAUUUGUUAUCGUAAAGCUCUCUUUCAUUUACAUCAGAAUCAUAGAAAUGGGCUAUAUAUAUAUAAAUUAUGAGAAAAAGCCAAAGGGGCAAAACGGGGAAAAUUCAUACCCGUCCAAAAAAAUAAAAUAAAAUAAAAUAAAAUUUGUGUUAUAGCCCAUAUCCUCUCAAGUUUUUCAUCUCAUUUCAAAAGAGAGUCUUGAUGCAAGGAAUGUUGCAAUGAAAGUAGUGAUAGGAUUCCACCGAAAAUUCUACACACUUGCACAUUCUGAUCUAAGGGUAUGGCGCACUCCCUCCGGUAUGGUCCUGGGUUUGACUCGACAACAUAUGCAGGGUAAAUAAGUUCCACCAUCAUACCUACCCAAAAC
rnacentral:lncRNA from 1 species